AACGAACGCUGGCGGCGCGCUUAACACAUGCAAGUCGAACGAGAAGGCGUAGCAAUACGCUUGUACAGUGGCGAACGGGUGAGUAAUACGUGGGCGACCUACCCUCGAGUGGGGAAUAACCCGCCGAAAGGCGGGCUAAUGCCGCGUACGCUUCCAUCUUUAUGGAGGUGGAAGGAAAGCCGUGCCGUGGGCACGGCGCUCAAGGAUGGGCUCACGUCCUAUCAGCUUGUUGGAGGGUAACGGCCUACCAAGGCUCCGACGGGUAGCUGGUCUGAGAGGACGAUCAGCCACACUGGCACUGCGACACGGGCCAGACUCCUACGGGAGGCAGCAGUGAGGAAUAUUGCGCAAUGGGCGAAAGCCUGACGCAGCGACGCCGC
rnacentral:rRNA from 1 species